rnacentral:lncRNA from 1 species
CCUGCUCUCAGGUCUGGGCUCCAUCCUGGCUCAUGAGACCUUACUCACUGACCAUGUUUGCCUUUACUAUUUAUUUUGACAAUAAGCUCCACCCCCAAGCCCCAGUGCUAACCUUGGCUUCCCAUUAAAAACAUCCAGAGAUUUUUCAAAAUCCUGUUGCCGAGCUGCAGAAUCCUGGCCAAAUAAGUGAGAUUGCCAGAGGUGGAUCUCAGGCUCGGGCGCUUUGAAAGGUAUUUUUAGAGAGGAGAGUCUCACCUCACAGUAUUCCGUGAUAAUGCAAAAAGUCUCCUGCUCCACAAAGCUUGCAUGGAAUCUGACAAUGGCCGGAUGAUGGAGCCUGGAGAGGAGCUGAGCUUCCAUAUUGGCCUGCACGGUCUCAUUUGGAUUUAAUUCGCCAACAGAGAUUUCCUUCAGUACCUUUCUGUGGCCAAAACCAGUAAAAAGCAAAGGAAGAAAAGAAAAAGAAAGAAAAGGAGAAAAAAGACAGAUAUCAAGAGUUGAGAAGUCUGCUUCUCUGUCGUAAGGACAUGGCACAGAACCCCUCACCAUGCCCAGAUAAUCAGCUGUUCAAGGGUCUAGUUCUACCUGCUAUGGUUCUGAGGCCCUGGGCACCUGCCUGUCGCACCCAGUACCAUGGUAUUCCACAGCCUUUGACCACCA